AUACGGAAGGUCCGGGCGUUAUCCGGAUUUAUUGGGUUUAAAGGGAGCGCAGGCGGAGAUGCAAGCGUGACGUCAAAUUUCGGGGCUCAACCCCGUCUCGCGUCGCGAACUGCGUCCCUUGGUUGCGGGAAGGGGAGGCGGAAAUCGUGGUGUAGCGGUGAAAUGCAUAGAUAUCAUGAAGAACUCCGAUUGCGAAGGCAGUCCGCUGGGGCACGUCUGACGCUGAUGCUCGAAGGUGCGGGAAUCAAACAGGAUUAGAUACCCUGGUAGUCCGCACGGUAAACGAUGAUUACCCGCUGUCGGCGGCAGACAGUCGGCGGCCAAGCGAAAGCGAUAAGUAAUCCACCUGGGGAGUACGCUGGCAACGGUGAAACUCAAAUGAAUUGACGGGG
rnacentral:rRNA from 1 species